UGGCUACAGUCGCAUGGAAUGAGACUUAAGAAAGGAAAGGUAGGCAAAAGAAAUUUCUUAACAACGUAUUUUACUGCAACUUUACAUUCACAAACUUGACCGCUCCAUUGAUCUUUGUUCGUAUCUUAUCUUGCAGAAAAAGACGGUUGCGAUGGCCAAGAUCUCCUUGCCAUCGCCCAAGAUGCAGACGUACCAAGGCACUACAUCCCUAUUAUAAAAGAGCGUCUAAAGCUCAAGAAAUUGAUUGCAAUGAACGCUGAACCUAGAGAUGACACGAGUUCUUCGUCGCGUGCAGAAUCAAGUCCUUCGAGUAAGACGGUUCAAACGUCGAUUGAUGAUUCAAAUAACAUCAGCGAUUAUGGAAAUUUAGAGGUGACAUUGGCACCGAAAGAAAAGGGUAAAUCGCCCAAGGAUCUCUGUUUUACGGACGAGGCGACAGAACUGAGCACUGUCUAAGUUCCUCCUGAAUGGCUUUCAAAAUUCCAACUACCAUCGAGGUUCUCUGCCUCAGUAGAGUUGGAUACCAAGAAGGGAUAUCUCAUCAGCAGCCUAAAGUACUCUGAGAAACAGUGGAUUGCAAAAAAAAAUUAUUGCAGAGUAGCCUUGUAUGGUUAGCAGGAUACUAGACUAAGUUGACUUGGAAACUGAAUGGAUUGGUAUGGUCUAAAAAUCUAUUGCUUCACCUCUUAAACUAAAAAGUUGCAAAAUAAUCACUCUCACCUUUUAAGUUCAUGACCUUUGUUCUUGUGUGUUUGUCAUCACAUGCAUUUAAUGAAGUUGUGACCAUUUUGGAGGUACAAGUCCAAAAAACUGCUACUUUGGUACUAAGAUGAACAGCUAAAAUUUCUGAGCCCAUUUGCCAAUGAAGUCCAGAUACAAAGGUUCAAGUACUUUGGGGUUGUAUUAAUUUUGCCUUUUUGUUUAGUUUUUUUGAUUUUGCAAUUUUUUAAAAUAUUCCUGUUGUCAAACCAUUAGAUAAAUAUUGGACAUAGAAUAGCUGAUUUUUUUCAGAUAUUUUGGGAGUCAUACAUUACUUUUUCAAGUCUUGAAUGGGAGACAAAUUACACACAUUGAGCUAAACUUCCACUUCCAUUUCUGGUGUUUUAGCUUGUAGUUUUAGAAAAACAAUAUAUAUAUAUAUGUAAAUGUGGGGGUAGAGUCUACCUUGGCAUAAAGUGCUCAAUGCUGUGGUAGCAGAGCUAAGUAUACAUAAGUUAAAGAAUUAAA